GAAUGGUAUACUGGUGGUGGUGGAGAAUGAUAGACCGGAGGUGGUGGGAGUGGUAUACUGGUGGUGGUGGAGAGUAGACGGGAGGUGGAUAGUAUACUUUCUUUGGUGGUGGUGGAGAGUAGACGGGAGGAGGGUAGUAUACCUUCUUCGGUGGUGGUGGAGAGUAGACGGGUGGUGGGUAGUAUACCUUCUUCGGUGGUGGUGGAGAGUAGACGGGUGGUGGGUAGUAUACCUUCUUCGGUGGUGGUGGAGAGUAGACGGGUGGUGGGUAGUAUACCUUCUUCGGUGGUGGUGGUGAGUAGACGGGGGGUGGGUAGUAUACCUUCUUCGGUGGUGGUGGUGAGUAGACGGGAGGUGGGUAGUACACCUUCUUCGGUGGUGGUGGUGAGUAGACGGGAGGUGGGUAGUACACCUUCUUCGGUGGUGGUGGUGAGUAGACGGGAGGUGGGUAGUAUACCUUCUUUGGCGGUGGUGGUGAGUAGACUGGUGGUGGGUAGUAUACUUUCUUUGGUGGUGGAGGAGACUUAUAGACGGGUGGUGGAUAGUAUACCUUCUUGGGAGGUGGGGGAGACUUGUAGACUGGAGGUGGGUAGUAUACCUUCUUUGGUGGUGGAGGAGACUUAUAGACGGGAGGAGGGUAGUAUACCUUCUUGGGAGGUGGGGGAGACUUGUAGACGGGAGGUGGGUAGUACACCUUCUUGGGAGGUGGGGGAGACUUGUAGACGGGAGGUGGGUAGUACACCUUCUUGGGAGGCGGGGGAGACUUGUAGACGGGAGGUGGGUAAUACACCUUCUUAGGUGGCGGAGGAGACUUGUAGACGGGAGGUGGGUAAUAAACCUUCUUGGGUGGCGGAGGAGACUUGUAGACAGGAGGUGGGUAAUACACCUUCUUUGGUGGUGGUGGAGAGUAAACUGGUG
rnacentral:lncRNA from 1 species